UGUGAAACAAAAUCAACUACAUGUGUGGUGUAUUUAUUCAUUUUGGUGCGGUUAUCAAUAGCAGACAGAAUAUGUCUUCGAUUCUGUAAAGCAAUGUAAGCAUCCUUUAUUUACCUUUGCCUCCAGCUAGAGGCUGUUCUGCUUUCCAGUUCCUGUUUGCCAGUGAUGUACUUAAUACAGAUACCUGAAUAGAGACGUUUGAUUACACUAGAUUGACGAUGGCAACAUUUGACUACAUAGAAAGCGGACUGAAAUGGAAAUAUGUCUAGUUCGGGAAAUUCAUUUCUAUUAUACAAUCCAACAGGUUUUUUAACUAGGACUUUUAUUCGGGUGUAAAACAGGCGAAUGGCAGUACUUCAAGUAAUGUGUAAUUUCAUCAGUGAAUUCCCACACAAUAAAAUGAGAAAUGUUAUUCCACGACUGAUAUCAUUACGUUUUAUUUCAAUCUCCGGGUUGUGUGGAUACAUCGGCAACAUACAAAACGAGAUCCAAAUAAAACCUGGAGCCGGAUAUUGUGCUAUAAUGGUGGGUUCAUGGAAUUAGCGUUAUUUAAUAAUGUGCACUAAUAAGAGUUCAGCAGUAUAAUACACGCUAAUGCUGUAUGUAGAUGUUCGUGUUUCCAUUAAAAUGUAUCAGUGAAUUAUCGGUCGAUAAUUGUAAUUUAUGAGCGGUAACUCUGCUAAAUGCUGCGAAGAGAGAAUCUCUACAAUACUUUGCAAAUCAACUGUAUCAAGUUCCCACAGGAUUUUUGGCUCAUCUUGACUUUAAUUAUCGAUCAAGUAUUGGGGAGCAACAAAAUAAUGAUUUACUUUAAGUUUUCACGAUUGUAAAUAAAGUAUGAGUUCAGUGAGUUUAAUGCAUAAUUCAUACGCAUGACAUACAUUAAGAUUCACACAGUCUUCAAAGUAACACAAAGUUGUACAAAACCACUUUAUCCAACCAGCAAAGAUUAAAGAACACUUAGAGUCACUUUAUGAGCACGAGUACUAUAAAAUACUUCCCCGUAACUUGUUUUAUACAUAUAAACUAUGUCCUUCCAUUAAAAUGCUUUUAAUGUUGCCACUUGUGAGGGCCUUUCAAACAGAUUUGGCAAAAAGUGGAAAAAUUACCGUCAAAGCGAGAAUUAGUUUUUUCGGAGCUAUUGUUGAAACUUGUGUUUUAUUUACGUUAAGAAUUGCCGACGCUGUAAAUUUGCAUUCAGCGUUUAAAAUACAAAAUUUGAGGCGCUUUUGCUGAAACAACCAAAUACCUGACUGGAAUAUUACCAGUGAGAAAUAGGAUAUUGUCAGCAAUUUUAAAUUUCCGUCUCCCGUCCCACACAAAAAUAAAAACAGUAUGCCACCGCUGAAAAAAUACAGCCGCAGAUUCAAUAUUUGCAUAUUGUAAUUUAAUGCACGGAAACUUACGGCGUUUGCAUUUCAUUCUGACUAAGAUAUUGUUUCACGUGUAGAAAGAAAAAUAGAAAAUAGCAGAACUUGGAAAGAUUAUGUUUUACCCAUUCAGUGCUUCAAAAAUGUAUUCAGAAAUUAUUUACAAUGUUUAUGAGUUUUUGCUUAAUGCAUACAUUUACGAUGUAAAUCCGUUAAAAUAUGUACUUACUUGGAAACUUCUGACAAGUCUGUAAAACGUAAAUAAGGAAAACGUAAUUUUAUGCAAAUUGGUAAGUAAUAAGAUGAUGACGUCAAAAGCACAUUACGAUAUUUAGCAACAAUUCUCAAUUAUUUUUUCAAAUAAAGGCAAAAAUCUAACAAAAUCAUAAG